rnacentral:ncRNA from 2 species
CAAUUCUUUCGGGGCAGGGUGAAAUUCCCAACCGGCGGUAAUCUUUAUAAGAAAGCCCGCGACCUGUACGGUAAUUUUUACCGUAUGGCUGAUUCAGUUCAAGUCUGAAGCCGACAGUUAAAGUCUGGAUGGGAGAGAGAAUAA